CCUACGGGAGGCAGCAGUGGGGAAUUUUGGACAAUGGGCGCAAGCCUGAUCCAGCAAUGCCGCGUGAGUGAAGAAGGCCUUCGGGUUGUAAAGCUCUUUUGUCAGGGAAGAAACGGUGAGAGCUAAUAUCUCUUGCUAAUGACGGUACCUGAAGAAUAAGCACCGGCUAACUACGUGCCAGCAGCCGCGGUAAUACGUAGGGUGCAAGCGUUAAUCGGAAUUACUGGGCGUAAAGCGUGCGCAGGCGGUUUUGUAAGUCUGUCGUGAAAUCCCCGGGCUCAACCUGGGAAUUGCGAUGGAGACUGCAAGGCUAGAAUCUGGCAGAGGGGGGUAGAAUUCCACGUGUAGCAGUGAAAUGCGUAGAGAUGUGGAGGAACACCGAUGGCGAAGGCAGCCCCCUGGGUCAAGAUUGACGCUCAUGCACGAAGACGUGGGAGGACGAACGAGGAGUAGUACUACCGUACGGUACGUACCGACCGACCCGUAACCGUAC
rnacentral:rRNA from 1 species